rnacentral:misc_RNA from 1 species
AAACUGCGAUAAGUAGUGUGAAUUGCAUUUAGUGAAUCAUCGAAUCUUUGAACGCACCUUGCACUCACUGGUAUUCCGGUGAGUACGCCUGUUUCAGUAUCAUUGAAAACACACAAUCAAAACAUUUUCUUUGGUUUGAUUGGCUUUGGGUCUAUCAAAAAGUUUGGCUUGUUUCUUACAAGCCAAGCGGCCUGAAAUAUAUUGUCUGGCUAAUUGCAUCGUUGAUGAUCGCUAUUAGACUUUGGCUUUUUUAAAUGAACUGGAGGUUGAUUAACCAGUUUUAGCUUUAGUCAAAUGGUCAUUGUAAAAAAAAUCUCGAUCUUGGCUAGGUGUUUAUAGCCGAAAAUUUUUUUUUGGCUAUAACCGAAACCAAUAUAAUCACAUUUAGUUAUCGAUCUGAAAUCAGGUGGUACUACCCGCUGAACUUAAGC